GGCCGGUAUGAAUGGCGUCACGAAGGCCCCACUGUCUUAAGAGGACUCUCCAUGAAAUUGAAUUCGUAGUGAAGAUGCUACGUCCAUAUUGUAAGACGAAAAGACCCCAUUGAGCUUUACUAAAGACUUGCAUGGCUCAAAAUAAUUUGAUUUAAAUAAAGAGUUUAGAUAAUGUGGGAUCCGUUUUCGGUUAAUGAAACACCACUCUUUUAUUUUAAGAGAGCUAACAUUACAGGGAUAGUGUAAGUUGGAUAGUUUGGUUGGGGCGACCACCUUUUAAAAGGUAACGAAGGUGAGCUUAAGGUCCGUAGUUAAUAGCCGGUGGCCUGACUGCAAGGGGGACGUCUCGAGCAGACACGUCCUUAGGGAUGUGGACUAUAGUGACCCGUCAUCUUAG
rnacentral:rRNA from 1 species